GUCAAUGUGGAGGAUAUAUACAGAGGGUACUGGAACAGAGUCAAUGUGGAGGAUAUAUACAGAGGGUACUGGAACAAAGUCAAUGUGGAGGCUAUAUACAGAGGGUACUGGAACAGAGUCAAUGUGGAGGCUAUAUACAGAGGGUACCGGAACAGAGUCAAUGUGGAGGCUAUAUACAGAGGGUACUGGAACAGAGUCAAUGUGGAGGCUAUAUACAGGGUGUACCGGUACAGAGUCAAUGUGGAGGCUAUAUACAGAGGGUACCGGUACAGAGUCAAUGUGGAGGCUAUAUACAGGGGUACCGGUACAGAGUCAAUGUGGAGGCUAUAUACAGAGGGUACCGGUACAGAGUCAAUGUGGAGGCUAUAUACAGGAGGUACCGGUACAGAGUCAAUGUAAAGACUAUAUACAGGGGGUAGGGGUACAGAGUCAAUGUGGAGGCUAUAAACAGAGGGUACCGGUACAGAGUCAAUGUGGAGGCUAUAUACAGAGGGUACCGGUACAGAGUCAAUGUGGAGGCUAUAUACAGAGGGUACCGGUACAGAGUCAAUGUGGAGACUAUAUACAGGGGGUACCGGUACAGAGUCAAUGUGGAGGCUAUAUACAGGGGAUACCGGUACAGAGUCAAUGUGGAGACUAUAUACAGGGGGUACCGGUACAGAGUCAAUGUGGAGGCUAUAUACAGGGGGUACCUUUACAGAGUCAAUGUGGAGACUAUAUACAGGGGGUACCGGUACAGAGUCAAUGUGGAGGCUAUAUACAGAGGGUACCGGUACAGAGUCAAUGUGGAGGCUAUAUACAGGGUGUACCGGUACAGAGUCAAUGUGGAGGCUAUAUACAGAGGGUACCGGUACAGAGUCAAUGUGGAGACUAUAUACAGGGGGUACCGGUACAGAGUCAAUGUGGAGACUAUAUACAGGGGAUACCGGUACAGAGUCAAUGUGGAGACUAUAUACAGGGGGUACCGGUACAGAGUCAAUGUGGAGACUAUAUACAGGGG
ensembl:lncRNA